GAUGAAGAACGUAGUGAAAUGCGAUAAGUAGUGUGAAUUGCAGAAUUCAGUGAAUCAUCGAAUCUUUGAACGCACAUUGCGCCCCUUGGUAUCCCGAGGGGCAUGCCUGUUCGAGCGUCAUUUCACCACUCAAGCCUGGCUUGGUGUUGGGCGACGUCCCCUUUGGGGACGCGCCUCGAAACGCUCGGCGGCGUGGCACCGGCUUUAAGCGUAGCAGAAUCUUUCGCUUUGGAAGUCGGGGCCACGCCUGCCGGAAUACCUACUUGUAAGGUUGACCUCGGAUCAGGCAGGGAUACCCGCUGAACUUAAGCAUAUCAAUAAGCGGAGGA
rnacentral:misc_RNA from 1 species